rnacentral:rRNA from 1 species
UACAGAGGUCUCAAGCGUUGUUCGGAUUCAUUGGGCGUAAAGGGUGCGUAGGCGGCGCGGUAAGUCGGGUGUGAAAUCUUGGAGCUUAACUCCGAAACUGCAUUCGAUACUGCCGCGCUUGAGGACUGGAGAGGAGACUGGAAUUUACGGUGUAGCGGUGAAAUGCGUAGAUAUCGUAAGGAAGACCAGUGGCGAAAGGC